UCGGGGCAGGGAAUGGUCACUACUGGGGAUCGGGGCAGGGAAUGGUCAUUGUCGGGAGAUCUGGACAGAGGGGAUCUUGUCCUGGGGGAUCGGGGCAGGGAAUGGUCACUACUGGGGAUCUGGACAGGGAAUGGUCAUUCCUGGGGGCUCUGGACAGGGAAUGGUCAUUCCUGGGGGAUCUGGACAGGGAAUGGUCACUACUGGGGGAUCUGGACAGGGAAUGGUCACUACUGGGGGAUCUGGACAGGGAAUGGUCAUUACUGGGGAUCUGGACAGGGAAUGGUCAUUCCUGGGGGCUCUGGAGGGAGGGGUGGUCCUGCUUCCCCGCGCUCCAGGAGAGUGGCACCUGGAUCGGGCUUCUCCAGCCGCAGAGGAAUCAGUGCCCGGCGUGUCCUCAGGCUGGGGGAAGGUGGCAGGUGCUGGGAUCAGCUCUCCAGCCCUUUUCUCCCAGCCCUUUGCCAUCACUGUUUGGAGGAAGGGCCCAGCACCAUGUCUGGGUGGUACCUCCGAGUGUGGCUGGGGGGAGAGGUGUGUGGGAAUUCUCAGGAGCUGAAUUCCUAAGCUGGAGCUGGACUUUGAUAAUCCUUGUGGAGGGUCCCUUUCCACGUCAGAAUAUUCCAUGAAUCUGUGAAAUGGGAUUUCUCAGCUGCAGGCACCCAUGUGAAGGAGGUCAUCUUAAUGUGACUGUGGUGUAGCUGAAAGCAGAUCUUGAGAAGCAGAGGGUCAAGCAUGUGAGAUUGCUACAGGAAAAUAGAAUUUACUGAGAACUUCUUAACUGAAAUAAAGUCUUACAUUUUUUGGCAAUAUGCUGUUAAAAGGUUAAUGUGUGUUUCAGUAGUUCAUAAAACAAUGGCACCUGUUGCUGCAUUUAAAUGUGUGAAAAUAAACUUGUUCCUAGCUUUUUCUUUAAAA